AACGAACGCUGGCGGCAGGCUUAACACAUGCAAGUCGAGCGCCCCGCAAGGGGAGCGGCAGACGGGUGAGUAACGCGUGGGAAUCUACCCAUCUCUACGGAAUAACGCAUGGAAACGUGUGCUAAUACCGUAUACGUCCUUCGGGAGAAAGAUUAUCGGAGAUGGAUGAGCCCGCGUUGGAUUAGCUAGCUGGUGGGGUAAAGGCCUACCAAGGCGACGAUCCAUAGCUGGUCUGAGAGGAUGAUCAGCCACACUGGGACUGAGACACGGCCCAGACUCCUACGGGAGGCAGCAGUGGGGAAUAUUGGACAAUGGGCGCAAGCCUGAUCCAGCCAUGCCGCGUGAGUGAUGAAGGCCCUAGGGUUGUAAAGCUCUUUCACCGGUGAAGAUAAUGACGGUAACCGGAGAAGAAGCCCCGGCUAACUUCGUGCCAGCAGCCGCCGUAAGAC
rnacentral:rRNA from 1 species